GCAGGGAUUGUGGCUCAGGGGCUGAGCAUAUGCUUUGAAACCACAAGGUCCCAAGUUCAAUACCUGGCAUCUGCA